GCAUGCACGGCCAUUCCGGCGGGCGCCGUCGCAUACGCGCGCAGUAAGUAGCUGGGAGCCACCCGGCACGACGAGCCCGGCGGAGAGUGUCCCGAAACCACACGGCUGUGGGCCCUUCUUCCAUUACAACGGGGAAAGUGGCGGCAGGGGCAGCAGAGGGCCAUUCGCGCAGCCUCGCCGAUUUCGCGGAUCCCGAGAGCGUGACCCGCUUGGACGAGCCACAAUAUUGGGCUCUCCUUUUAGAGACCCCGACCGCGUUCGAAAGGCAUACAGUGCAAGGAGACGAAGAUCUCGGGACAACCGCAUCGCCAGGUCACCAGGUCACAAGACAGUGAAGGUGCUGCCUCGCUGAACUCACGUCUACGGGCCAGUUCAGACAUCCGCAACGCUGAAACAUGAUUUCUCUUUGUAUGAUUUACUUGUUCCCCACGCCUCUAAUAAACUACUCGAGGAAAGGACUGU
rnacentral:misc_RNA from 1 species